rnacentral:tRNA from 1 species
GGCGGUCAACUACGGGAUAUUUCUUAUAAAACAAUGUGUUACGUAUCUUUACGGCCGGACUUAAAAUCCGUUGUUCCGAAAGGGACGUGUCGGUUCGAUCCCGACCGGGGCCACCA